rnacentral:rRNA from 1 species
CGGGAACAUGGGGGGCGUGCCUAUACAUGCAAGUCGAGCGAAUGGAUUAAGAGCUUGCUCUUAUGAAGUUAGCGGCGGACGGGUGAGUAACACGUGGGUAACCUGCCCAUAAGACUGGGAUAACUCCGGGAAACCGGGGCUAAUACCGGAUAACAUUUUGAACCGCAUGGUUCGAAAUUGAAAGGCGGCUUCGGCUGUCACUUAUGGAUGGACCCGCGUCGCAUUAGCUAGUUGGUGAGGUAACGGCUCACCAAGGCAACGAUGCGUAGCCGACCUGAGAGGGUGAUCGGCCACACUGGGACUGAGACACGGCCCAGACUCCUACGGGAGGCAGCAGUAGGGAAUCUUCCGCAAUGGACGAAAGUCUGACGGAGCAACGCCGCGUGAGUGAUGAAGGCUUUCGGGUCGUAAAACUCUGUUGUUAGGGAAGAACAAGUGCUAGUUGAAUAAGCUGGCACCUUGACGGUACCUAACCAGAAAGCCACGGCUAACUACGUGCCAGCAGCCGCGGUAAUACGUAGGUGGCAAGCGUCAUCCGGAAUUGUUGGGCGUAAAGCGCGCGCAGGUGGUUUCUUAAGUCUGAUGUGAAAGCCCACGGCUCAACCGUGGAGGGUCAUUGGAAACUGGGACACUUGAGUGCAGAAGAGGAAAGUGGAAUUCCAUGUGUAGCGGUGAAAUGCGUGGAGAUAUGGAGGAACACCACUGGCGAAGGCGACCUUCUGGU